rnacentral:tRNA from 1 species
GGCGGGGUAGCUCAGCGGUUAGAGCAGCGGCUUCAUAAGCCGCGUGUCGUGGGUUCGAUCCCCACCCCCGCCA